GCCCCGAUAGCUCAGCUGGUAGAGCAGCUGUCUCGUAAACAGCAGGUCGAGGGUUCGAAUCCCUCUCGGGGCU
rnacentral:tRNA from 1 species